rnacentral:rRNA from 1 species
UACGUAGGGUGCAAGCGUUAAUCGGAAUUACUGGGCGUAAAGCGUGCGCAGGCGGUGAUGUAAGACAGGUGUGAAAUCCCCGGGCUUAACCUGGGAACUGCGCUUGUAACUGGCAAGCUUGAGUGUGGCAGAGGGGGGUGGAAUUCCGACGUGUAGCAGUGAAAUGCGUAGAUAUGCGGAGGAACACCGAUGGCGAAGGCAAUCCCCUGGGCCUGCACUGACGCUCAUGCACGAAAGCGUGGGGAGCAAACAGG